GCCAGUGUGGCGUAGUGGUUUGAGUGUUAGGCUACGACGGUGGAGAUCAGGGUUCGAUUCCUGCUUGGCCA